rnacentral:rRNA from 1 species
UACGUAGGGUGCGAGCGUUGUCCGGAAUUGCUGGGCGUAAAGAGCUCGUAGGUGGUUUGUCACGUCGUCUGUGAAAUUCCGGGGCUUAACCUCGGGCGUGCAGGCGAUACGGGCAAUACUUGAGUGCUGUAGGGGAGACUGGAAUUCCUGGUGUAGCGGUGAAAUGCGCAGAUAUCAGGAGGAACACCAAUGGCGAAGGCAGGUCUCUGGGCAGUUACUGACGCUGAGGAGCGAAAGCAUGGGUAGCGAACAGGAUUA